ACGAAAGCUACAACAGGCACAAGGUGGAUGCCUAGGCGACAGUGACCGACGAAGGACGCGGUAGGCUGCGAAAAGCCAGGAGGAGGGGCCAGCACCCGUGAGACUCCUGGAUCUCCGAAUGGGGCAACCCGGCGGGGUCAACCCCCGUCACGCCCGGCUGAAUCCAUAGGCCGGGGCGAGGGCACCCGGGGAAUUGAAACAUCUCAGUACCCGGAGGAACAGAGACCAUUCCCAUAGUAGUGGCGAGCGAACUGGGAGGAGCCUAAACCGCGUGCGUGCCAAGCCCACCGGCGUUGCGCACGCGGGGUUGCGAGGCUGACCAUCCGGCGACGGUGGUCGCGGGCGGCAGUUACCAAGCGGGCGGGUAGCCGAAUGGACUGGAAGGUCCAACCAGAGCGGGUGAGAGUCCCCUCGGCGACACCCGGGCCGUCUGUCGGGUCAGUGCUCGAGUACCACGGGGCACGCUAAUCCCGUGGGAAGCAGGGACGCCCACGUCCCAAGGCUAAAUAUCACUGUCGACCGAUAGUGGAGCAGUACCGUGAGGGAAAGGUGAAAAGCACCCCGGUGAGGGGAGUGAAACAGGUCCUGAACCCUUGUGUCGACAACCCGUCAGCGACCCAGGCCUCCUCGGAGGCGGGUCCAUGGCGUGCCUUUGGAGAAUGACCCAGCGAGUUCCGUCUACGUGGCCAGGCCAAGGAGUCAGCACCCCAAGCCGCAGCGAAAGCGAGUCUGAAGAGGGCGCGCGAGUCACGUGGAGGAGACCCGAAACCGAGUGAGCUGCCCAUGGCCAGGGUGAAGCGCGUUUAAGCGCGCGUGGAGGCCCGCACCGGUGUCCGUUGCAAAGGGCUCGGAUGAGCUGUGGGAAGCGGUGAAAUGCCAAACGAACUCGGCGAUAGCUGGUUCUCCCGAAAUCGCUUGCGGGCGAGCCUCGAGUCAGAGGCUGCCGGAGGUAGAGCACUGAGUCGGUGCGGGCCCAGUGCGGGUACCAAGCCGAGCCAAACUCCGAAUGCCGGCAGCCGCGCUCGGGAGUUGGCGUCUGGGGGAUGAGCUUCAGACGCGAAAGGGAAACAGCCCAGACCGCCCGCUAAGGUCCCCAAGUCUCCGCUCAGUGGGAAAGGCAGUGGGAUGACCCCGACAGCCAGGAGGUUGGCUUAGAAGCAGCCAUCCUUGAAAGAGUGCGUAAUAGCUCACUGGUCGAGUCGUCCUGCGCCGACAAUGUCACGGGGCUAAGCGGAGCACCGAGGCGGCGGAUCACACGCGGGUGUGAUGGUAGGGGAGCGUUCCGGGGGCCGAGAAGCCCGAGCGGGAGCCCGGGUGGAGCGUCCGGAAGUGAGAAUGCUGGGAUGAGUAGCGUCAAGUGUGUGCGAAUCACACUCACCGAAUGUCUCAGGGUUCCGACGGAAGGGUCGUCCCCGUCGGGUUAGUCGGGCCUUAGCCGAGGGCGCCAGCCGUAGGCGAUGGACAACAGGUCAAUAGUCCUGUACCAGGGAUGAGGAGUGAAGCGGGGACGCGGCCGGAUAGACGAGCCGGGCGGUGGUUGUCCCGGUGCCAAGCGUGUAGGUCGGCGACGGGGGGUGGCAAAUCCCCUCCCUGAGACCGAGGCGUGAUGGCGGGCCUGCGGGCCAGAAGUCGUUGAGUCCCAGCCGCCGAGAAAAGCCGCUAAACGUGGAAUCAUGCCUGCCCGUACCGCAAACCGACACUGGUAGACACGCAGAGCAUGCGCAGGUGAGCGAGGGAACCUCUGUUAAGGAACUCGGCAAAAUCGGCGCGUAACUUCGGGAGAAGCGCCGCCCGGGCCGGUGAACCCCCCGGCGGGGGGAGCCGGCCGGGGUCGCAGUGACCAGGCCCUACCGACUGUUUACCAAAAACACAGGUCUGUGCGAACGCGCAAGCGGACGUAUACGGGCUGACGCCUGCCCAGUGCCGGAAGGUUAAGGGGACGUGUCAGCGCCAGCGAAGCACCGAACCGAAGCCCCGGUGAACGGCGGCCGUAACUAUAACGGUCCUAAGGUAGCGAAAUUCCUUGUCGGGUAAGUUCCGACCCGCACGAAAGGCGUCACGAGUGGGGCGCUGUCUCAACAGAGGACUCGGCGAAAUUGCAGUGGCCGUGAAGAUGCGGCCUACUCACAGCAGGACAAAAAGACCCCGUGGAGCUUGACUGCAGCUUGCCAUUGCGACUGGGCAUGGGCUGCGUAGGAUAGGUGGGAGCCGGAGAAGCUGGGCUUGCGGGCUCGGUGGAGGCCCACUUGAAAUACCACCCUGCGCAUGCUGAGGCGCUCACCCCCGCCCGUGAACCGGGGGGGGGACCGUGGCAGGUGGGCAGUUUGACUGGGGCGGUCGCCUCCGAAAGGGUAACGGAGGCGCCCAAGGGUGCCCUCAGGCGGAAUGGAAACCCGCCGGCGCGUGUAUUGGCACAAGGGCGCUUGACUGCGAGACUGACCCGUCGAGCAGGGACGAAAGUCGGGCAAAGUGAUCCCACGGCACCGGGUGGAAGGGCCGUGGCUUACCGGAUAAAAGCUACCCCGGGGAUAACAGGCUAGUCUUCCCCAAGAGUUCACAUCGACGGGAAGGCUCGGCACCUCGAUGUCGGCUCGUCACAUCCUGGGGCUGGAGCCGGUCCCAAGGGUUCGGCUGUUCGCCGAUUAAAGUGGUACGCGAGCUGGGUUCAGAACGUCGUGAGACAGUUCGGUCUCUAUCCGCUGUGAGCGUUGGGGGAUUGCGAGGCGCUGACCCUAGUACGAGAGGACCGGGUUGGACUGACCGCUGGUGCACCAGUUGUCCCGCCAGGGGCAUCGCUGGGUAGCUACGUCGGGCCGGGAGAACCGCUGAAAGCAUCUAAGUGGGAAACCCUCCUCCAGAUGAGUCCCCCCCAUCAGGGCCCAGCCAGAGCAGCUGGUCGAUAGGCCGCAGGUGUAUGGGCAGUAAUGCCUUCAGCCGAGCGGUCCUAACGCCCGAGUGCGCUUUCAACU
rnacentral:rRNA from 1 species